CAAAUCUUGGGGGCCAGUCGCUCUGCGCUGGUCUCACAUUAGCACAAGGUCGCAAGGCCUUGAUGUUUACGCUUGUUUGUUUGACAGAGUUAGUUGAGAAUUAAAUAAAGA
rnacentral:misc_RNA from 1 species